rnacentral:tRNA from 2 species
GGCGGCAUAGCUCAGUUGGUUAGAGCAGCGGAAUCAUAAUCCGCGUGUCCCCGGUUCGAAUCCAGGUGCCGCCA